UAAUACGGAGGAUGCGAGCGUUAUCCGGAUUUAUUGGGUUUAAAGGGAGCGCAGACGGGUCGUUAAGUCAGCUGUGAAAGUUUGGGGCUCAACCUUAAAAUUGCAGUUGAUACUGGCGUCCUUGAGUGCGGUUGAGGUGUGCGGAAUUCGUGGUGUAGCGGUGAAAUGCUUAGAUAUCACGAAGAACUCCGAUUGCGAAGGCAGCACACUAAGCCGUAACUGACGUUCAUGCUCGAAAGUGUGGGUAUCAAACAGG
rnacentral:rRNA from 1 species